rnacentral:rRNA from 1 species
AUGUACACAUACGUACAGCGGCCAGGGUGCAAGAAAGAAAAUACGGACACAUACGUACAUACGGGCGGGGUCUCGAACGCCUACUCGCGCAUAUGUACAUGGCUGGGUCGGAACGAAGAAACAGAGUUGUCGUUGUGUUCAUGGGGAGGCAACGGAAUGCAUCGUGUUCAUGGGGAGGCAACGGAAUGCGUCGUGUUCAUCGGGAGGCAACGGAACGCGUGGGAGCCAACCGUCUUGGACGGAACAUGCGAUGGAAACGAGGCCUGGCGUAUCGCACAACUGAGGAAACGACCUUGUGUUCGACCGGCCACGUUCGGAACGGGGUCUUGUUGA